rnacentral:rRNA from 1 species
GACGAACGCUGGCGGCGUGCCUAAUACAUGCAAGUCUACCUUAGUGGCGAACGGGUUCGUAACACGUGGGUAACCUGCCCAUCAAAAGGGGAUAAAACUUGGAAACAGGUGCUAAUACCGUAUACUGAUUUCUGGUGCCGGUGUGCAUUAGCCAGUUGGUGAGGUAACGGCCCACCAAGGCCACGAUGCAUAGCCGACCUGAGAGGAUGAUCGGCCAAAUUGGGACUGAGACACGGCCCAAACUCCUACGGGAGGCAGCAGUAGGGAAUCUUCGGCAAUGGACGAAAGUCUGACGGAGCCAGGCCGCGUGAGUGAAGAAGGUUUUCGGAUCGUAAAACUCUGUUGUUAGAGAAGCGGUAUCUAACCAGAAAGCCACGGCUAACUACGUGCCAGCAGCCGCGGUAAUAC